rnacentral:rRNA from 1 species
AUUAAACGCUGACAGAAUGCUUAACACAUGCAAGUCAACUUGAAUUUGGGUUUUUAACUUAGAUUUGGGUGGCGGACGGGUGAGUAACGCGUAAAGAACUUGCCUCACAGCUAGGGACAACAUUUAGAAAUGAAUGCUAAUACCUGAUAUUAUGAUUUUAAGGCAUCUUAGAAUUAUGAAAGCUAUAAGCACUGUGAGAGAGCUUUGCGUCCCAUUAGCUAGUUGGAGAGGUAACAGCUCACCAAGGCGAUGAUGGGUAGCCGGCCUGAGAGGGUGAACGGCCACAAGGGGACUGAGACACGGCCCUUACUCCUACGGGAGGCAGCAGUGGGGAAUAUUGGACAAUGGACCGAGAGUCUGAUCCAGCAAUUCUGUGUGCACGAUGAAGUUUUUCGGAAUGUAAAGUGCUUUCAGUUGGAAAGAAAGAAAUGACGGUACCAACAGAAGAAGUGACGGCUAAAUACGUGCCAGCAGCCGCGGUAAUACGUAUGUCACGAGCGUUAUCCGGAUUUAUUGGGCGUAAAGCGCGUCUAGGUGGUUAUGUAAGUCUGAUGUGAAAAUGCAGAGCUCAACUCUGUAUUGCGUUGGAAACUGUAUAACUAGAGUACUGGAGAGGUAAGCGGAACUACAAGUGUAGAGGUGAAAUUCGUAGAUAUUUGUAGGAAUGCCGAUGGGGAAGCCAGCUUACUGGACAGAUACUGACGCUAAAGCGCGAAAAGCGUGGGGUAGCAAACAGG